UACGUAGGGUGCAAGCGUUGUCCGGAAUUAUUGGGCGUAAAGAGCUCGUAGGCGGCUUGUCGCGUCGGCUGUGAAAUCCCGGAGCUCAACUCCGGGUCUGCAGUCGAUACGGGCAAACUGGAGUACUGCAGGGGAGACUGGAAUUCCUGGUGUAGCGGUGAAAUGCGCAGAUAUCAGGAAGAACACCCGUGGCGAAGGCGGCUCUCUGGGACGGUACUGACGCUGAGACGCGAAAGCGUGGGGAGCGAACAGG
rnacentral:rRNA from 1 species